UUAUUGCGUGAGUGAUAGAAGCGGCAUCCUUUUGUGGACAAAAGAUACAGCGGAUAGCACGGCCCUCG
rnacentral:sRNA from 1 species